rnacentral:rRNA from 1 species
UGGGAACCUGCCUUUAGGUUCGGAAUAACGCCUCGAAAGGGGUGCUAAUACCGAAUAAUGUCUUCGGGCCAAAGAUUUAUCGCCUUUAGAUGGGCCCGCGUUGGAUUAGCUAGUUGGUGGGGUAAAGGCCUACCAAGGCGACGAUCCAUAGCUGGUCUUAGAGGAUGAUCAGCCACACUGGGACUGAGACACGGCCCAGACUCCUACGGGAGGCAG